rnacentral:rRNA from 1 species
GAUGAACGCUGGCGGCGUGCCUAAUACAUGCAAGUCGAGCGAACGGACGAGAAGCUUGCUUUUCUGAUGUUAGCGGCGGACGGGUGAGUAACACGUGUAUAAUCUACCUAUAAGACUGGGAUAACUUCGGGAAACCGGAGCUAACACCGGAUAAGAUUUUGAACCGCAUGGUUCAAAAGUGAAAGACGGUCUUGCUGUCACGUAUAGAUGGAUCCGGGCUGCAUUCGCUAGUUGGGAAGGUAACGGGCUAUCAAGGCAACGAUGCAUAGCCGAGCUGAGAGGGUGGUCGGCCACACUGGAGCUGAGACACGGUCCUGGCUCCUACGGGAGGCAGCAGUAGGGAAUGUUCCGCAAUGGGCGAAAGCCUGGCGGAGCAACGCCACGUGAGUGGUGACGAUCUUCGGAUCGUAAAACUCUGUUAUUGGUGAAAAACAUAUGUGUCAGUAGCUGUACACAUCUUGACGGUACCUAGUCAGAAAGCCACGGCUAACUACGUG